rnacentral:rRNA from 1 species
CUACGGAACUCCUACGGGAGGCAGCAGUAGGGAAUCUUCCGCAAUGGGCGAAAGCCUGACGGAGCAACGCCACGUGAGUGAUGAAGGGUUUCGGCUCGUAAAACUCUGUUAUUAGGGAAGAACAAACGUGUAAGUAACUGUGCACGUCUUGACGGUACCUAAUCAGAAAGCCACGGCUAACUACGUGCCAGCAGCCGCGGUAAUACGUAGGUGGCAAGCGUUAUCCGGAAUUAUUGGGCGUAAAGCGCGCGUAGGCGGUUUCUUAAGUCUGAUGUGAAAGCCCACGGCUCAACCGUGGAGGGUCAUUGGAAACUGGGGGACUUGAGUGCAGAAGAGGAGAGCGGAAUUCCACGUGUAGCGGUGAAAUGCGUAGAGAUGUGGAGGAACACCAGUGGCGAAGGCGGCUCUCUGGUCUGUAACUGACGCUGAGGCGCGAAAGCGUGGGGAGCAAACAGGAUUAGAAACCCGUGUAGUCCUCUUCGA